AAAUAAAUUUUUAUACUGUAUAAGAUAUCACAUCUACACCACUAAUAAUAACAGAACAUCAUAAUUUAAAAUAAAAUAUAUCAAUUUCUUAAAACCUUACGAUUAUUCUUAUAAUAAAAUCACAUUUAAUAUUUGUUCUAUAUCCAACAAAAUAAGUCAAAACCAUAUUAUUAACCCCAAACUUGAUAUCAUAAUAUCAAAGUCUUAUAACCCACUUUAAUCAUAAACAAUAAUUCUAAACUUUCAGGAACACCAUAACAUAUGUGAGAUAAUAAUUAUCCAAUUUAUUCUCAUGAAUAAACACUUCGAUAUUAUUCCUCAAUCUUAUCUUGAUUAUAGCCUGCAUAUAAUUUAUACAAGAUAAAUAGUUAGAAAACAUUGGGGUGAUAUAAGUUCCAAGUCACUCAAUUAGAAACAAACAUAAAAAGAUACAUACAAAACACAAAAACAUCUAAGGUGGACAUAUAACUAUACAAGAUAUGACAAGAUAUAUACAUCAAAUGCAAUAUUCAUGCACCUAUACUCCUUAUACAUGUCUUACAAAUAACUCAAGCUCAAGAAAGUAGCAUAGGAGGAAAUCGACUAUCAUAUAAGAAUAACAUCCCUCUCAAUGAAUUUUAGUGCAAAACACUUUCACUACUAUGAUUUUAUUAAGAGACUAGUCUGCAUUACCAAGAUUUAUCGAUACACCAUAACAUCACGAGGUAAUAAAUCCCAAUAGCCAUUCAACAUUCAAUUAGUUUUUCUCUCUCUUUUUAUAAAUUCUCACAAUGUCUCUCUGCCUUGUUGAACCAAAAUAAGUUUUAGAAUAAUGUCUCUAAGGUUUUGAUGCUGACAAUGUAUAAAAGAACAAUUGGAUACCCUAAAUUUUGUUGUAGUAUGCAGGAACAUAGAAUUACAUUCUGACUCUGAAGUCAAUAUUUUGACUCUGAAAACACUAAAUUCUGAAGAAAAUAAUUCCAUCUUGGUUCUACAAGGUAGACAUAUUUGGUACCCAAGAUAAAGUUUUGAUGACAAAGAUCUGAUUUGAAGUUGGUAAAUAAAAAUCCAAAGCUCUGAUCAAAUAUGGAUCAAGUUAGUAAGACAAACUUUGGUAUGAAGACGAAAAUCUGAAGGAUAAAGUCAACGCUCAGCGCUCUGAAGAACAGCUGACCAGUCUUGUCUUAUUUUGAAGAAAUGUCAUUAUCCAUGUUUAGUAGUAUGUUUUGUCAUGUUGAGUUAAAUGAAGACACGUUGUAGAAGCGGAUAAAGCUCUUAUAAGACAAAGUGGAUGCAACAUAUCAUUCUUAAAGAAGCAAAGAAAUUCUAAAGUAGUGUUCAACGAAAUUAUCCCUCAGAGGAAAAGAUUUUAAUUAUGAAGAUAGCUCUUGAUGUGCUGGAAAUAUCUUCAAACAAUGGCUCUAUUCAAAUCUCUUAUAAAAUUACAUUGAGCGUUUGAAGAAAGAGAAACAAUUAAGUGCUUUCAAUUGUGCCAAAACUCUGACAAAAUUUCUAGUGCAAAAACACUUAAAAAAAUUCUUACAAACUGUCAUCCUAGAAUUUUUUAAGUGUUUAGAAUUACUUUGUGCUUAUUUUAGUUUACCACUAUUUGACUCAAAAAUGUAAACAAACAUCAAUUUUUACUAUAAACUCUGAUCAUGUUGAUUUGUUUUUAAUUUAGAAAAUAUUUUUCAUAAAAAUUCAACACACUUCAACCUACCUUUUUUGUGUUUUUCUCACCUUUAUGCCUCUCUAUAUUUUUUUGGUUUUACCCAAAUGCUCCUAUCCACAUAAAUAUAAUUAUGAUCGAGGUGCUCCUGACAUCUCGAUAUGAGAUAGGGUUUAGAUCUUGGAGCCUAACAAUGAUAUUUUUUUUUUGGAAAGGUAUUGUUAAGUUAAAUAUAAUAUAUAAAUUUGUUGUUUCCAAAUUCAUUCCAUCUUUCCGUAGUCACUUUAAUGACCAAAUCGCGUUCUCACUUUUAAUUAGGGAUUCCAGGACGUCACGUGAGCUACAUAAGGAUUCUAUUGAAAAUUAUUUGGGAUUUCUUAGUAGGUCUUAUAUUCUCUCAACCUAACCUCUAUAUGUUAUCAUUAUAUACCUUAUAUAUAUCAACAAUUUAAAGUGUUGAAUUUAUCAUUCUUAUCUGUGUAAGUAGGUAUAUCGCUGAAGCGACCAUAUUUUUUUUUUUAAAGUUUGGGACAUAUGUACUUUUACACAUCUAAAAUGAUGAGGUUUCUUGCCUACAAUUAAGAUUAAUUUUACAUUAAUUUCUUUUAAAAAAUUAAUAUGUCUAAUGAAUUCUCUAAACUACAUAUGCAACAUGUACAAACUUAUAAAUUGGUAUAUUUCAAAAACAAUGGUAUUGUGCCUAAAUGAAAAUGAUAAAGACUUUAAAACUUUUUAGUUUGUAUGUGAAGAAAAUCUACUCUAAAUACAUUAUGAUUUAUAGAUUUUUUUUUUAUGGGAAUUAGUAUAGAAAUGUUACAAAAACAAACUAAAUAAAUUAUGAUAAUAAUAAUAAUAAUACUAAUAAUGACUAUAUUACUCAUGUUAGGAUCAAAGCUCAACUAUAUACAUGAUGAUCAAUUAAUAUACAAAUGCUACAAAAUAUCACAUAUCAGAUCUUCAAUUAAUUGAUUUUUGAGUUGUUUCUUUCGUUAAUUUACAUUUAGCAUGACAUAUUUUAUCUUUCUUUAUCUGGUCAAAUAGUACAAUAUGUUUGUAUUUCCUCUUUUAUUUUUCGUAUGCUCUAUAAAAUGAAAUCAUCAUUAAUUUUAACUUUGUCAACGGCCAAAUACAACUGACAUAUAGGUUAUUUACUUAGGUUUCAACUUUGGAUGUUAGGGCAUCUCACAUUCUCACAAUGACGGUAUUAUUAGGUGAUUAGUUGGUAAAUUUAUCAAAAUAUCCUCAAGAUAACACCUUUAAAUAUAAAAUUCAACAAUUUACUUUUCUCACUUGUCAUUAUAUCAAUUUGAAUUUUAUUAGAUUAUAUAUCAAGAACCUAGGUCAUAUUAUCCAUAAAACAUCUCUACUUCAUUCCCAAGAAAACAAAGAUAAAAAUUUAAUAAUAUAUUUAACAUGCUUAUCUUUUAUAGGCUAUUAAUUAAAUUGCAAGGUUAGAGAAAUAUAUACAAAUGUAAGAGAAACAACAUUAUGAAGAGAAACUAAAUGAAAAUCAUAUACAUAAUAGAGAAAAAAAUAACCUUAACUAUGUAGGCUUGUCCAAACGUUGGCAAUAACCUUCAAAACACCUCAGUUGUCCAAAAGGAGCAUGCGGAUUUUUUAUAUAACACUCAAAGUCCUCACUACAACUUUGCGCUAACUUACUUACUCCAUCAACUACAACAAGAUAUAGGGAAACAAAGAGAAUCAUAAUAUAAAACAACCUGAGAGUUUCAACCAUUUUUUCACCUUUGCAUGUAACAAAUAGAAAUUGGUUUGAUCACUAUAUAUAGUAAAAAAACCUCUUUUCUUUACAAAUAUAGUAAAAAUCCUCUUGUUAUGUUUACAUCAAUUAAAUAGUUUAUUUUAAUUAUGUUGUUGCAAGAAAUCCUUUAAAGUUAGAAUAAUUUUUAAAUGUCCCUAAAGUACAUUGAUGAAUCAUAUUUGCCCCUUUAGCUCAUAGAGUAAAUCUCAAAAAAAUAUUUUACUUGUAAUUAGAGUUCAUUGUCGUUUACCAACUUUUCAUUAUUAUUAUUAUUAUUAUUAUUAUUAUUAUUUCAUAAUAGAGAGAGGGAAACCAAUAUUAUCACAAAAAUGUUUGUAUUAGUGGAAACCAAGUUAUCCUCUGUCAAAGACCUCAUUAAUUUGUUUAAUAUUAACCGUUUGAUUUUUUUUCCGAAAUGACAACCAUUGGCAGAGACUAACUUGAGGGACAAAAAUGUAACGUUAAUUAGUUAUGUGAUCAAUAUGAAAACAACAAAUAAAUUAAGGGGCCAAAUAUUCAGUUUAGCCUUUUUCUUUUAAUGAGAGUGUUUUAGUAUGAGAUAGUGUAUAGAGAAUGUGUUUUCAAUGAAUGGAAAAUUUGUGGGAACAUGUAUUUAUCAUUGGAGGAUUUCAGAAAAAAUGAAAGUUGAAAAGUAGCGAAAAAAUGUUGUAUUAAUUAAUUCACUCCUUUAGUUAAUAGAUUCACAAGUUCAAAAACGAAUUAAUUGAUUUAUCGUCAUCCUAAUGAAAAAUGAAUCGAUUCAUAAUAGUUUUGAAUUUAUUUGAUCAUUUAUUUUCAAAAUUCAACAUUUCUCCUGGUUCGUGUAAUUUGUGAUUUUUAUUUACAGUCAACAUUUCUAUUUCUAUUUACAGUCAACAUUUCUAUUUACAUUCAACAUUUCAAAAUUCAACAUUUCUAAUUUGUAAUUUUUUUUAAUAGAGGCCAAAAUCGCAACAUUUUAAAACUUAGGGAUCGAAAAGUGCAGUUUAACCUUUAUUUUAUUAUGGUGGCACAUUUUUAAAUAAAACAUAAUUUAAGGAUAUUUUUGCAAAAAGAAUGUCUAUUCUCUGGUUUUCAAAUGGAUGAUCAAAAUUUUCAUCUAUAAAUUUUUCUCGAAAUGUUGUGAUACUAUAAAAAUAGAUGGAGUGACUAAUGAUUACUUGAGGCUAGACUUUUCCCCUUUUCCCUUGGAGCUUGGUUUUAGAUUUUUCCUAUGCCUCCUCCUAAUGCCAUAUGAAUGUAGGAUGAGUUGAAGCGAUCUUUCCUAACUCAAUAUUUCCACGCAAUCAAAGUUUCUGAAUGGGGAAACGAAACAAUAAGUUUUCCACAAAAAUAUUGGGAGUCGUUAUGCACACAGUUAAAUAUUAAACAAAAUAGUGUAUGCACUACCCAGAGGCAGACCCAGACUUUCGAUACAGGUGAGACAAAACUUUGAAGAAAGUAUAUAUAUAUAUAUAUAUAUAUAUAUAUAUUUGGCUUUUGCACAGGUUUCUGACCCACCAAAGAUGGACGACUAAUCCGGCUCGUGUGUAGAGGCAUGCACACUGGCCAAGCGUUGUUCCCCCUGGAAAUCGAACUGGAUAUUCCCUGGGUACGUCCUUGAAGGAGCUCCUUGCCACUGGAGCCCAAACAACUUAUAAAGCUAACUUGUGACAAAAUAAAUGCAACAACAAAAUGGUUUAGAAGUGUCCAUUUUACCAACGGGAGUAGAGGGUGUUGAACCCAAGACGCAUUGCAGGGUAAUGAAGCAUUUACCGCUAGGCCAAGUAACUAAACAUGAUAAUCUUCCAACAUAUAUUAUAUAUAAUGCAUAAAAUCCUAAAUUAUAAAAUAAGUAUUAUAGAAAGGGGGUUGCUAACUUACACCCACCUAAAAACACUAAGGUGCAAGUUAGCAAGCUACACCAACUUAUUUUUUACAAAACAACCAAUCUCCAUUAUUAUAAGUCAUUUGAAGUUAAAGGGCAGUUGUGUCAAUUUAACAAUAUUGUUCAUUUUUGUUUAUAAGAACAGAUCUACUCGCUUCCCUCAUACAAUUAUAACAUUAAGAACAACUUCUUUUUUUUUUAAACAAAAGAUUUGCUUAAGAGAACAAGCCUGAUUGCCUUUUCAUUAAAAAAAAAAAACAUAAUUGCCUUUAGAAAAAUUGUUCAUUUUAAUAAGAAAAAGAAGGAGGUCAAUAGAUUUAAUAGGAAAAAAAUAUUUUUAUGCAUGAAAAAGGAUCAGCAGAUUGAAUAGUAAAAAAAAAACAGUUUCAAGGAAACAAAAUACAUAUAAAUCUAUAUGCUUUAAAAACAUUAAAAAAAAUCAAGACAAAAACAUUAUUUGGAAUUAUGAAAGUGGGUGUAAGUUAGUGAGGUUGGUGUAAAAUAUUUGUUAAAAUUUAUCAAAAUGAGUGUAAAUAAUCAAGUGGAUGUAGGUUGCUAACUUGCACCUUAAUAAUUUUAGGUGGGCGUAACUUGCUAACUUGCACCUUAGUAUUUUUAGGUGGGUGUAAGUUAGCAACUCCCUUAUAGAAAUUAUCUAAAAAAUAUUUAAGUUUUUAAAUUGAGAGUAGAAAAAACCAAAUAAAAGACAUUUAAAACUAAUAAUAAUUGUUUUCGUAAAAUAAAUAGAUUUGAUAUUUUAUAAAAUAUCACAUCCACACCACUAAUAAUAACACGACAUCAUAAUUUAAAAUAAAAUAUUUCGGCUUCUUAGAGCCUUACAAUUAUUCUAUACCCAACAAAAUAAGUCAAGACCAUGUUAUUAACCCCAAACUUGAUAUCAUAAUAUCAAAGUCUUACAACCCAAUUUAAACAUAACAAUAAUUCUACAAACUUUUAGAAACGCCACCAUAACAUAGGUGAGAUAAUAAUUAUACAAUUUAUUCUCAUGAUUAAACAUGUUGACACUAUUCCUUAAUCUUGUUGUCUUGAUGAUAGCCUGCAUAUGAUAUAUACAAGAGAAAUAGUUAGAAAACAUUGGGGUGAUAUAUGUUCCAAGUCACUCAAUUAGAAACAAACAUAAAAAGAUGUGUACAUAUAAUUAUAUAAGAGAUAUACAUCAAAUGCAAUAUUCAUGCACCUCUACACCUUUUACAUGUCGUAUAAAUAACUCAAGCUCAAGAAAAUAGCAUAGGAGGAUAUCAACAAUCAUACAAGAAUAACAUCUUUCUUAAUGAAUUUUAGUACAAAACACUUUCACUAUUAGGAUUUUAUUAGAAGACUAAUUUGAGUUACCAAGAUUUAUCAGUACGUCCUAACAUCAUGGUGUCAACAAGAGUCGUUGAGAUUUUCGCACCGAAACAUAGUUAUCCAUAAGGUCGGGAUAAUAAAUCUAAAUAGCCCUUUACCAUCCAAUUAACUCAAUACUUUGACUCACAUAUUAAACAACCUAUGUAUGAAGCAUGUUCUCCUAAAAAAAUAGCAAAUGCAUUCAUCAUUUAUUUUCCAUAUAAAAAUAUUAUACCAUCCUAGCGUUUAACAAGCUAGGUACAUCAUAAACAAUAUAUUACCAAAGCGCCAUACUUUUCCUAUUGUUAUCUUGGUGAAUCAUGUCAAUAUUAUUCAUGAUAAAAAUUAUUCACAACACAUACAUUCUCAAGAAAAACUUUUUAAUUAUGUCAAAACGAUAAUUUAAUUCUUACACUAAAAACUAAAAUUCUAAUCAUCAUUAAAAUAUUAAUUAUGUAAUCUAUUUUUUUUAUUUGUAAUAAUAAUUCAAUUAGUAAAUAGAAAAUUAAGAAUUAGUUAAUAAUUGCAGUAGAUCACUAGUUGUGUUUAGUAAUCAACUACCUAUAGUGAAAAUGCGCUUAGUUUAGGGGUACCAUUAAGUUUAUACACCAACCAUAUUUUAUCAACACAAAAUCCCUGCCCAUCCCCUCCACUCAUGACCAUUGUAAAAGAAUCUCCCCCUUACCUUAGUUACGAGUGUUAUAUCCUAAUAUUCAUACUUUGGUAGAUCAAUUACACUCAAAAUCAUAUCAUUCUAUUUUUUAGUCUUGCUAUUCUUAUUUUGUGAACAUUUUUCUUUAGAUUUUUUUUUUUUCAUUUGAGAUUUAAAAGGGCUUCAAAUAGAGUUAAAUUUUCUCAUUUUACACUCUACAAUUAGUCUCUCUCUCUCUCUCUCUCUCUCUUUCUCUCUCUCUUUCUCUCUCUCUCUCUCUCUCUCAAUCCACACAAUGUCUUUCUGCCUUGUUGAACCUAGAUAAGUUUUAGAAUAAUGUCUCUAAGGUUUUGAUGUUAACUAUGUAUAUAAGAAAAAUUGGGUACUCUAAAGUUUGUUCUGGUGUGUAGGACCAUAUAAUUAAAUUCUGACUCUGAAGUCAAUAUUUUGACUCUGAAAAACACUAAGCUCUGAAAGAUAUGCUCUAAGCAAAGUAGAACAUAUUUGGUACCCAAGACAAAGUUCUAAUGACAAUGCUUUGAUUUGAAGAUGGUCAGUAAAAAGCCAAAGCUCUAAUCAAAUAUAGAUAAAGUUAUGAAGACAAGCUUUGGUCUGAAGACGAAGUUCUGAAGGAUCAAGACAACGGUCAAUGCUAUGAAGAAUAUCUGAUCAAUUUUUUCUUAUUUUGAAGAAACGUCAUUGUCCAGGUUCAUUAAUAUGUUUUGUCGCGUUGAGUUAAAUGAAGACACGUUGUAAAAAUGAAUAAAGCUCUUAUAAGACCAAGUGGAUGCAACAAAUCAUUCUAAAAGGAGCAAAGAAAUUUUGAAGUGGUGUUCAAUGAAAUUAUCCCUUAGAGGAAAACAAUUUAUUUAUGAAGAUAGAUCUUGAUGCGCUUACAAUAUCUUCAAACAACCUAUUCAAAUCUCUUAUAAAAGUACAUUGAGCGUUUGAAGAAAGAGACACAACUACACGUUUUCAAUUGUGUUACAGAUAUCACAUAUAAGAUCUUCAAUUAAUUGAUUUUUGAGCUGCUCCAUUCAUAUAUUUACAAUUAGCAUGACAUGUUUUAUCUUUCUUUAUCUAAUCAAAUAGUACUAUAUGUUUGUAUUGCCUCUUUUUUAUUUUUCAUAUGCUCUAUAAAAUGAAACCAUCAUUAAUUUAAACCUUGUCAACGACCAAAUACAACUGACCUAUGGGUUAGUUACUUAGGUUUUAAAUUUGGAUGUUAGAGAAUCUCACAUUAUCCCUAUGAUAGUAUUAUUAGGUGAUUAGUCGGUAAAAGCAUCAAAAUAUCUUUAAGAUAACACCUUCAAAUAUAAAAAAUUACAAUUUACUCCCUACUCUUGAGAUCUAUAACUCAAUUUGAAUUGUGUUAGAUUAUAUGUCAAGAACCAAGGCCAUAUUAUCCCUAAAACAUCUAUACUUCAUUCGCAAGAAAACAAAGUUAAAAAAUUUCAUAAUAAAUUUAAUAUGCUUAUCUUUACGGGCCUUAGAAUUUUCUUGUAUAAGCUAGAGUACCCCUUGCACUCCCUUUUUAAUUUAAUAUAUAUUUACAUAACAUGCUUCUAAAGCUAUUAAAUAAAUUCCAAAGUUAGAGAAAUAUAUGAAAGUGUAAGAGAAACAACAUUAUGAUAAGAAAAGUAAAUGAAUAUCGUAUACAUAAUAGAGGGAAAAAAAACCACCUUAACUAUGCAGGCCCGUUCAAUUGUUGGCAAAAACCUUCAAAGCACCUCAGGUGUCCAAAAGGAACGUGUGGAUUUUUUAUAUAACACUCAAAGUCCUCACUGCAAGUUUGUUCUAACUUACUUUCUCCGUCAACUACAACAAGACAUAAGGAAACAAAAAGAAUCAUAAUAUAAAAUAACCUGAGAGUUUCAACCAUUUUUUUCACCUUUGCAAGAAACGAAUAUA
rnacentral:lncRNA from 1 species